rnacentral:rRNA from 2 species
CAGCUCUAGGCGGUGGAUCACUCGGCUCGUGCGUCGAUGAAGAGCGCAGCCAGCUGCGUGAAUUAAUGUGAAUUGCAGGACACACUGAACAUCGACAUCUUGAACGCACAUGGCGGCUCUUGCUCACUGCAAGGGCCACGCCUGUCCGAGGGUCGGC